AUGUGCGAGAGCACGAUGAGGGGAUCCCAAGUGCAGGCACGUAAGUGUCAGCUGUUUCUUAGUCUAAAAAACUGAGAGAGUAAGAGCUGGGUAAGACGGGUGCCAGCCGCCGCGGUAAUACCUGCAGCUCAAGUGGUGGCCGCUAUUAUUGGGCCUAAAACGUCCGUAGCCGGUUUAGUAAAUGCCUGGGUAAAUUGUGUAGCUUAACUAUACGAAUUCCGGGUAGACUGCUAAACUUGGGACCGGGAGAGGCUAGAGGUACUCCUGGGGUAGAGGUGAAAUUCUGUAAUCCUAGGGGGACCACCAGUGGCGAAGGCGUCUAGCUAGAACGGGUCUGACGGUGAGGGACGAAGCCCUGGGGCGCAAACCGGAUUAGAUACCCGGGUAGUCCAGGGUGUAAACGCUGCUUGCUUGAUGUUAGUUGGGCUCCGAGCCCAACUAGUGUCGGAGAGAAGUUGUUAAGCAAGCUGCCUGGGAAGUACGGUCGCAAGACUG
rnacentral:rRNA from 1 species